rnacentral:rRNA from 1 species
UACAGAGGGUGCAAGCGUUAAUCGGAUUUACUGGGCGUAAAGCGUGCGUAGGCGGCUCGCUAAGUCGGUUGUGAAAUCCCUCGGCUUAACCGGGGAACUGCGUCUGAUACUGGAUGGCUUGAGGUUGGGAGAGGGAUGCGGAAUUCCAGGUGUAGCGGUGAAAUGCGUAGAUAUCUGGAGGAACACCGGUGGCGAAGGCGGCAUCCUGGACCAAUACUGACGCUGAGGCGCGAAAGCUAGGGGAGCAAACGGG